UCCGGUGUUUUCUCAAAUUUUAGAGUUAAAUAUAACGGGCUACUCAUUAUUGCCGAAAUCUGUAUAAUAUUUUGCGCUCUUUUGCUUUUAUCAAAAUGAAAAGUUCUGCGCCAUCCACAUCUUCCGCCAGCCCGUCCAGUUCAGAACCCGCCGUGAAGGUGUAUUUAGGCACGAUCCUCAUGCUGGGAGGUCUUCACCACCUUCGAGGACACAUAGAGGGCCUUCUGGGUACGCUCUUUGAUGCCGGAAUCCAAGCUGUGGACGUGACGGAGGUUCCGGACAUUCGGAGGCUGUGGAUUGAGGUAUAUGACCUUUGUGUAUGGACGGCCGACCCCAGUGACCUUUCCUGGGGCGGCGACGGGCACCAGGAUCCGCUCUGCGCUGAGGCGACCCGGGCCGUCACCACAGCGAUCUGAUGCAAGCGCCAGGCGGCAGCGGCGCCUCCAGCCGACGCCGAUUGGUCCAGCCGUCACUUGGGGCACCGCUCAUUGGUCCAGAAGCCAAGCGGGAGCUGCACAUUGGUUCAGCUGCCAAGUGGGCGCCACCUAUUGGUCCAGCCGCCAAGCUGGCGCGCACCACCGAUCCAGCCGCCACAGGGAUACCGCUCAUUGGUCAAGACGACGCAAAGACGCUGCCAAUUGGUCCAGGGCCGUAGUUCUUCGCGAAUGCGGUUAUGCGUUGCGCGGCAACUGUGCGGAGCAGUGAAGUGACGUCUGCCGGUGCCGGAGUUCACGCCUAGCGGCGGGCGCCGCCGCCGCUGCCGUCUGUGACGUCACUAAAUGUCGAACCGCGCCGCCAAAGGUCGACAGACGUGAGGACGGAGGGAGUGACGGGUGACGGAUGCCGGCCGCGGUGAAGUGGGGCGGCGGCGGGCGCCGGGUCGUCCAUCGACGCGGCCGUCACCACUAGUCUAGGGCGCUUCUGACACUGCAUGACUAUUGAGAGGCCGCAUAACUGCAGGUCGCGGUGCGGUCUCGUAACUAGUGGGAUCUAAACACAAGUUCACUUAUCUUUAGUUCGUUCAAGUUCAUUUAGUUCCCGUUAGUUGAUUUAGUUCCUUCUAGCUCAUUUACAUUUUUAUAUUAUUUAGCUCCUGUUAGUUGUUUAGGUUCUUCUAGCUCCUUUACGUUCUCUUAGUUAUUUAGGUCCGUUUAGUUCGCAUCGUUCCUUUUAGUUUAUUGGGUUCCUUUUAGUUCCUUCCACCAUCUAGUUUCUUUCACCGUUUCGUUCCUACCAUCAUUUAGUUCCUCCCAUCCUUAGCCAACUGAAACAAUUUAGCGGCUGAAUUACUCCCACAAAUGUUAGCAUAAAUGUGUCAUAUUCCUGCUGUCCACAGAACCUCCUUAGUACCGCUCACUGGUAGCAUCCUUGUCGUUCUUUCGCUCACAUUGAUGCAUGCGCGCCUACAAUUAUGGAAAAAAGCGGUCGUCUGUUACAUUUACUAGCGGCUACAAACACUGUUACAGCAUACACGUUCGAUGUCAGCGUUGUUAUUGCUGUUUAAACAUCCCCCUGAUGGGGGGGGGGGGAAAGGAUAUAUGAUAGGAGGAUAGGGGAUUGCUGUACCCCCCCCCCACACCCCUCACCCUGGGGUUUUCUGAGGAUAUCCUUCCGACACGUCGUGUAAUCGCUCACUCAAAGUUCUAUAGCCUCUGGUGCCUCCAAAGCGUAUGUUGCGUGUGUUGUGACACCACCAAGUGUUUUGCAUCCCUUGUUUCUGAAAAACACGCUCUUAAAAAAUUUU